GACGAACGCUGGCGGCGUGCUUAACACAUGCAAGUCGAACGGAAAGGCCCUGCUCUUGUGGGGUGCUCGAGUGGCGAACGGGUGAGUAACACGUGAGUAACCUGCCCUUGACUUUGGGAUAACUUCAGGAAACAGGGGCUAAUACCGGAUAGGAGCUCCUGCUGCAUGGGGGGGGUUGGAAAGAUUCGGCGGUUGGGGAUGGACUCGCGGCUUAUCAGCUUGUUGGUGGGGUUGCGGAUUAACAAGGCUAUGACGGGUAGCCGGCGUGGGAGGGUGAACGGCCACACUGGAAGUGGGACACGGUCCAGGCUCCUACGGGAGGCAGCAGUAGGGAAUCUUCCGCAAUGGGCGAAAGCCUGACGGAGCAACGCCGCGUGAGUGAUGAAGGUCUUCGGAUCGUAAAACUCUGUUAUUAGGGAAGAACAAAUGUGUAAGUAACUAUGCACGUCUUGACGGUACCUAAUCAGAAAGCCACGGCUAACUACGUG
rnacentral:rRNA from 1 species